GCCCUUUGGGAGUCAGUAUCUCAGCUGGGAAAAUUUUGCUCCAGGCCCUGUCGACGACACUUGGUAUAGUGGGUAGCCAAGCCCCGUGGACAUGGACACUCCGCCAAUCAACUGGAACGCAGAGGGUUCCAAAAAGGGGAUGAAGCGAUGCUUCAUCUCGUAGCAGGGUGCUACGAAAAGGGGUUGAAUUGACGGUGGAGAGAUGAAAAGUAGUUAAUUACUUGGGGAUAAGAAGAGAAAUUAACCAGUGGUGAAUUUCGUAAUGGUCCAAAAAUCAGAUGUGAAACAGCUGAGUGACCCCCAAGGAAUUGAAUAGGAAAGUGGUUGUAAGGGGAUGGACUUAAAUUGAACACCUU
rnacentral:lncRNA from 1 species